CGGUUGAUCCUGCCGGACCCGAUUGCUAUCGGGAUGGGACUAAGCCAUGCAAGUCAACGCCCUAGAUAAAGGGCGUGGCGCACGGCUCAGUAACGCGUGGCUAACCUACCCUCGGGACGGGGACAACCCCGGGAAACUGGGGCUAAUCCCCGAUAGGCGAGGAUGCCUGGAAUGGUUCCACGCCGAAAGGGCACCGGAACCGUGCUUCCGGUGUCGCCCAAGGAUGGGGCCGCGGCCGAUCAGGUUGUUGGUGGGGUAACGGCCCACCAAGCCGAUAACCGGUACGGGCCGUGAGAGCGGGAGCCCGGAGAUGGGCACUGAGAUAAGGGCCCAGGCCCUACGGGGCGCAGCAGUCGCGAAACCUCCGCAAUGCGCGAAAGCGCGACGGGGCCACCCCGAGUGCCGCCCGCUGAGGGUGGCUUUUCCCCGGUGUAGAUAGCCGGGGGAAUAAGGGGGGGGCAAGUCUGGUGUCAGCCGCCGCGGUAAUACCAGCUCCCCGAGUGGUGGGGACGAUUAUUGGGCCUAAAGCGUCCGUAGCCGGCCCGGCAAGUCUCCCGUUAAAUCCAGCGAUCUAAUCGCUGGACUGCGGGAGAUACUGUCGGGCUAGGGGGCGGGAGAGGCCGGCGGUAUUCCCGGGGUAGGGGUGAAAU
rnacentral:rRNA from 1 species